ACCCUGCUGUGGUGUAAUUGGUAGCGCAUUGGCUUAGUAAUUAUGAGUCCCAGGUUUAAGUCCUGGUAGGGAUA